rnacentral:rRNA from 1 species
UACAGAGGUCUCAAGCGUUGUCCGGAUUUAUUGGGUUUAAAGGGUGCGUAGGCGGCAUUUUAAGUCAGUGGUGAAAUACUUCAGCUUAACUGGAGAGGUGCCAUUGAUACUGGGAUGCUUGAGUACUGAUGAGGUAGGCGGAAUGGACGGUGUAGCGGUGAAAUGCUUAGAUAUCGUCCAGAACACCGAUAGCGAAGGCAGCUUACUAAGGAGUAACUGACGCUGAGGCACGAAAGUGUGGGGAUCAAACAGG